GUGUCAGCAGCCGCGGUAAUACAGAGGUUCCAAGCGUUGUUCGGAUUCACUGGGCGUAAAGGGUGCGUAGGCGGUGGGGUGAGUUUGAGGUGAAAUCUCCGGGCCCAACCCGGAAAAUGCCUUGAAUACUAUCCCGCUGGAGGAUCGGAGGGGAGACUGGAAUUCUCGGUGUAGCAGUGAGAUGCGUAGAUAUCGAGAGGAACACCAGUGGCGAAGGCGGGUCUCUGGACGAUUCCUGACGCUGAGGCACGAAAGCCAGGGGAGCAAACGGGAUUAGAUACCCCGGUAGUCC
rnacentral:rRNA from 1 species